rnacentral:rRNA from 1 species
AGAGUUUGAUCCUGGCUCAGGAUGAACGCUGGCGGUGUGCUUUAGGUAUGCAAGUCGAGCGAAUUUGUAGCAAUACAAGUUAGCGGCAGACGGGUGAGUAACGCGUAAGAAUCUACCCUCAAGCGGGGAAUAACUGAUCGAAAGAUUGGCUAAUACCGCAUAAUAACUACGGUUUAAAGGGCUUAACUGCCCACUUGAGGAGGAGCUUGCGUCCUAUCAGCUUGUUGGUGAGGUAAAGGCUUACCAAGGCUAUGACGGGUAUCUGGACUGAGAGGUUGACCAGACACAGGGGCACUGAGACACGGGCUCCACACCUACGGGUGGCAGCAACCGGGAAUAUUGGGCAAUGGACGAAAGUCUGACCCAGCGACACCGCGUGGAGGAUGAAGGCUUUAGGGUCGUAAACUCCUUUUGACAGUCCCUUCACAGACUGUAGAAUAAGCUCUUACUAACUACGUGCCAGAAGUCUCGGUAAUACGUAGGGAGCAAGCGUUAUCCGGAUUUAUUGGGCGUAAAGAGUGUGUAAGCGUCUUUUCAAGUUCUUAUUGAAAGACUGAGGCUCAACCUCAGCAUGUGUAAGAAUACUGUUAAGAUCGAGGAUUAUUCGGGGUGCUGGAACAGUUGGUGUAGUAGUGAAAUACGUUGAUAUCAACUGGAACACCGAAGGCGAAGGCAAGCACCUAGGAUUAUCCUGACGCUGAGACACGAAAGCUAGGGGAGCGAAAAGGAUUAGAGACCCUUGUAGUCCUAGCCGUAAACGAUGGAUGCUAGCUAGUGUGAUUUUUUGCACUGGCGCAAGCUAACGCGUUAAGCAUCCCGCCUGGGGAGUACGGUCGCAAGGCUAAAACUCAAAGGAAUUGACGGGGACCCGCACAACCAGUGGAGCGUGUGGUUUAAUUCGACGCAACGCGAAGAACCUUACCUGGGCUCGAAAUGUAGUGGACCGGGGUGGAAACAUCCCUUCCCGCAAGGGCUGCUAUAUAGGUGCUGCAUGGCUGUCGUCAGCUCGUGUCGUGAGAUGUUGGGUUAAGUCCCGCAACGAGCGCAACCCUUAUUGUCAGUUGCCAUCAUUCAGUUGGGCACUCUGGCGAAACCGCCUCGGAUAACGGGGAGGAAGGUGGGGAUGACGUCAAGUCCUCAUGGCCUUUAUGUCCAGGGCUACACACGUGCUACAAUGGUCGGUACAAACCGUCGCAAACCCGCGAGGGGGAGCUAAUCGGAAAAAGCCGACCUCAGUUCGGAUUGGAGUCUGCAACUCGACUCCAUGAAGCUGGAAUCGCUAGUAAUCGCGGAUCAGAACGCCGCGGUGAAUACGUUCCCGGGCCUUGUACACACCGCCCGUCACAUCACGAAAGUGGGCUGUACUAGAAGCCGGUGGGCUAACCGCAAGGAAGCAGCCGUCCAAGGUAUAACUCAUGAUUGGGGUGAAGUCGUAACAAGGUAUCC